UACGUAGGGCGCAAGCGUUGUCCGGAAUUACUGGGCGUAAAGCGUGCGCAGGCGGUUCGUUGUGUCGGCGGUGAAAGCCCCGGGCUUAACCUGGGAAUGGCCGUCGAAACUGGCGAACUGGAGUGUGGCGGAGGGGGGUGGAAUUCCGCGUGUAGCAGUGAAAUGCGUAGAGAUGCGGAGGAACACCGAUGGCGAAGGCAGCCCCCUGGGCUGACACUGACGCUCAGGCACGAAAGCGUGGGGAGCAAACAGG
rnacentral:rRNA from 1 species